rnacentral:lncRNA from 13 species
UUAGCCCCAUAUAUACUGUAAAUGCAUUGACCUUACCCUUAUAUCAGAUAUCACGGAGGAAUUGUUGACCUGGGGCAUGAAUUGAAUUGCAUUUUUUUUUGUAUGUGAGUACAGGUUGUGGCCUGACUAGAUUUCUCGCAUAUAGGUUGCCCUUCAUCACUCAGCAGUGAAGAAUGAAAAUCAACAGAGCUUUCCCCAGCCUGCUGCUUAAGCAGCUGCUAACAGGCUGAGGCUGCCCAGCCGCAUUAACCCAUUAGAUGCUGCGUUAGCCCGGGAGUCAUUCUUAAUGAGGCUGCUGCAGAGUCUCCCUCUGUUACCCAGGCUGGAGUGCAGUGGUGUGAUGUUGGCUCACUGCAACCUCUGCCUCUUGGAUUCAAGUGAUUCUUGUGCCUCAGCCUCCCAAGUAGCUGGGACUACAGGUGCGUACCACCAUGCCUGGCCAAUUUUGUAUUUUUAGUAGAAAUGGGAUUUCACCAUGUUGGC